rnacentral:rRNA from 1 species
AACCCCUGUGAACAUACCACUUGUUGCCUCGGCGGAUCAGCCCGCUCCCGGUAAAACGGGACGGCCCGCCAGAGGACCCCUAAACUCUGUUUCUAUAUGUAACUUCUGAGUAAAACCAUAAAUAAAUCAAAACUUUCAACAACGGAUCUCUUGGUUCUGGCAUCGAUGAAGAACGCAGCAAAAUGCGAUAAGUAAUGUGAAUUGCAGAAUUCAGUGAAUCAUCGAAUCUUUGAACGCACAUUGCGCCUGCCAGUAUUCUGGCGGGCAUGCCUGUUCGAGCGUCAUUUCAACCCUCAAGCACAGCUUGGUGUUGGGACUCGCGUUAAUUCGCGUUCCCCAAAUUGAUUGGCGGUCACGUCGAGCUUCCAUAGCGUAGUAGUAAAACCCUCGUUACUGGUAAUCGUCGCGGCCACGCCGUUAAACCCCAACUUCUGAAUGUUGACCUCGGAUCAGGUAGGAAUACCCGCUGAACUUAAGCAUAUCAA